AGAGUUUGAUCCUGGUCAGAACGAACGGGCGGCGUGGAUAAGACAUGCAAGUCGAACGCUGAUUUCAGGGUAGCAAUAUUCGGAGGAGUGGCGCAAGGGUGCGUAACACGUGGGUAAUUUGCCGUGAAGCCCGGAAUAACUCGCUGAAAGGCGAGCUAAUACGGAUGUGAUUUUUGGAGGGCAUCCUCUGGAACUCAAAGCUGGGGACCGUAAGGCCUGGCACUUCUCGAUAAGCCCGCGGCCUAUCAGCUAGUUGGUGAGGUAAUGGCUCACCAAGGCUAAGACGGGUAGCUGGUCUGAGAGGACGACCAGCCACACUGGAACUGAGACACGGUCCAGACACCUACGGGUGGCAGCAGUCGAGAAUUUUUCACAAUGGGCGAAAGCCUGAUGGAGCGACGCCGCGUGGGGGAUGAAUGGCUUCGGCCCGUAAACCCCUGUCAUUUGCGAACAAACCUUUUCAUUUAAAAGAUGAUGAGCUGAUUGUAGCGAAAGAGGAAGGGACGGCUAACUCUGUGCCAGCAGCCGCGGUAAUACAGAGGUCCCAAGCGUUGUUCGGAUUCACUGGGCGUAAAGGGUGCGUAGGUGGCCGGUUAAGUCUGACGUGAAAUCUCCGAGCCUAACUCGGAAACUGCGUCGGAAACUAUCCGGCUCGAGGGUUGGAGGGGGGACUGGAAUACUUGGUGUAGCAGUGAAAUGCGUAGAUAUCAAGUGGAACACCAGUGGCGAAGGCGAGUCCCUGGACAACUCCUGACACUGAGGCACGAAAGCUAGGGGAGCAAACAGGAUUAGAUACCCUGGUAGUC
rnacentral:rRNA from 1 species